GUGAACGCUGGCGGUAGGCCUAACACAUGCAAGUCGAACGGCAGCACAGUAAGAGCUUGCUCUUACGGGUGGCGAGUGGCGGACGGGUGAGGAAUACAUCGGAAUCUACUUUUUCGUGGGGGAUAACGUAGGGAAACUUACGCUAAUACCGCAUACGACCUACGGGUGAAAGCAGGGGAUCUUCGGACCUUGCGCGAUUGAAUGAGCCGAUGUCGGAUUAGCUAGUUGGCGGGGUAAAGGCCCACCAAGGCGACGAUCCGUAGCUGGUCUGAGAGGAUGAUCAGCCACACUGGAACUGAGACACGGUCCAGACUCCUACGGGAGGCAGCAGUGGGGAAUAUUGGACAAUGGGCGCAAGCCUGAUCCAGCCAUACCGCGUGGGUGAAGAAGGCCUUCGGGUUGUAAAGCCCUUUUGUUGGGAAAGGAAAGCAGCAGGUUAAUACCCCGCUGUUCUGACGGUACCCAAAGAAUAAGCACCGGCUAACUUCGUG
rnacentral:rRNA from 1 species